UACGUAGGGUGCAAGCAUUGUCCGGAUUUAUUGGGCGUAAAGAGCUCGUAGGCGGCUUGUCACGUCGGGUGUGAAAACUCGGGGCUCAACCCCGAGCCUGCACUCGAUACGGGCUAGCUAGAGUGUUGCAGGGGAGACUGGAAUUCCUGGUGUAGCAGUGAAAUGCGUAGAUAUCAGGAGGAAUACCGAUGGCGAAGGCGGUUCUCUGGGCCUGUACUGACGCUGAGGAGCGAAAGCGUGGGGAGCGAACAGG
rnacentral:rRNA from 1 species